UUCUAGGGCCGCUUCCACAGCCUACGGAGGUUCCCAGGCUAGGGGUCUAAUCAGAGCAGCAGCCACAGGCCUACACCAGAGCCACAACCACACCAGGUCCGAGCCGUGUCUGCGACCUACACCACAGCUCACGGCAACGCCGGAUCCUUAACCCACUGAGCAAGGCCAGGGAUCAAACCUGCAACCUCAUGGUUCCUAGUCGGAUUCGUUAACCACUGCACCGCGAUGGGAACUCCCCUAUUUACCUUUAUUUAGGAAGGGAGACAGCCAGCUCAUGGCCCCUCGUCUCGCUCAUGGCCCGAACUCAGGCUCACGACACGGUUCCGCGAGGAGGGCAUGGCUCCCGCGGUAGCUCAACCUGAGCACCCACCUCAGGAGAGCCUGACGGGUAUGGGAUCUGCAGCCACGUGCUUGAUGUAUUUGGGCCUCAGCCCUUGCUGAUGAAACUGGAAGAUAAUUCAUUCGAUUCCACAGGGCUGUGGAGAAUCUGAAAUAUGGAAACAUCAAACACAUACCGCCUUUUGACAAACACCUUCUUCCCCUCCAGCUCUUUGCAAGACUGCAAAUUACACGUUCAGAGGAAUUAGCCUACUUGUUUUAAGCUGGGGUGACACCGCUGACAAGCGUUGAGCAUUUAGUCCCGAAUAUCCCCUUUCCCCUCUAUGAUGCAAAAGCCUUAUCAGUGACGCUUUUGACAACUCGGAGGGAACUGGCUCCGAGGGUUUUAUGACAGUUAGAUGGACAGUUCAGAAGCACACAGUCCUCUGGGUUUUACGACAGGCAAUCCUCGCAGCCUCUCCUGCAGCUUUAAAAGAGUCCUGGGACUCUCUUGCUCCUGCACUUUACACAGACAUAGAACAUCUCCAGCCCGACGGUGCCUAAAACACUCACGAGGGCUCUGGCUCUCGGCGUGGGGAAAGAAUGAAUCAGUUUUGACCCUGACAGCCUAUCUCCUAGAAGAAAUCCUCUGCCGCUUUCUAUUUUCUUCUCGGACCACGUGGCUUCUGUUCUCUUUGGAUGUGAGGCACACGUGUUCUUGCUUAGGAAGAGAACACCUGCCCAUGGACCAACGUGCCACCCGAGGAAAAGACUCUGAUUUCUUUCCUGCUGAGGUUCACUAACCUUAGAUUAUGUGGGCAAGGUGGAAAGGGUACAGCCUAUGGUGAGUAGCAGAAUUGGACCCUAAGGGCUGGUACACAGGCGCUUAUCACUUGGAGACGUCUAGACGGCUUGAUGGGUGGAUUCAGGGAACAGCUUCCUGCUGAGGCUGGACGUCUCUCUCGCCUUCAACUGCUGAUGACUCCAGAUCUGCUCCAUGAAUAGCAAGUGGGUUUGUGAGGCUAAAUGAAUAACUCCAAUAUUUAGAGUUGAAGUAGCAUGGCUUGGAGGGUGGAACAAGUCCCAAGUUUAGCACCAGAAGGGAGGCCACUGACUUUUCCCUGCUGGAAAGGGAGAGAGCCCUGCUACACCACAAAUGUCAUCACCGCAGCGUGCCUGGGGAUGACCUGGAACAGGCUGCCUGUCUGUUUUCAACAGAAAUCAUCAGUUUGGAUGCACUGGCAGAGAUAGCGGGGAGAUUGGCAGCGCCGGGCAGGGAGCGUUUCCAAGAUGGAGACCUGCCAGUCAUGUGUGACUCGCAGUGGGACGAGGCUGGCAUCUGCAGCAGCCCCACGCAGGGCCAGGAGAGCGUGACUCGGGGGGCGGGGAUGAGAGUGGGGGGAGGGAUGCCUAAAUCAGACACCCAGCAUGAGACGGGGGCAGGUGUUUGGUGUUCUCACAGCAGGGAUGGCGAGGGUGCUGGUAACUAAAGGUGGGAAACCUGCAUAUACAGCGAGGGUCCAAAUUUGCCUCUUCCAUAUCUGCAGUAGUGUCCGCAGCAAACUCCUGUUUCCCGAGUCCUCGCAUCUGUUCCUGCUGUGGUGCAGUGGGAUAAGNAUAAGAGAAAGGGGGGUUCCUGCUGUGGUGCAGUGGGAUAAGAAUCCAGCUGCAGCAGCUCAAGUGCCUGCAGAGAUGUGGGUUCAAUCCCUGACCCAGGGCAGUAGUCAAAGAAUCUGGUGUUGCCGCAGCGGUGGCACAGGGCACAGCUGUGGCUCAGAUUCACUCCCUGGCCUAAGAACUUCCAUGAGCCUUGGGUGUGGCCAUUAAAAAAAGAGAGAGAGCGAAAAUAAUAGAAAGGUGACUUUCAAGUUCUAAGAUGCAGUUUGUGAGUUGGUAUAACUUGACUAUUCUAAAAGAUUAUUAAACACACACAAAACUAUUUUGGGGGGUAGAAAAAGGAUAAGGUGGUAAAAUGAAGAUAAAUAAUGCCCCCAAAACAAAAGAACGUUUUCAAUUAAAUCCAAUCCAUCUUUUAUUCUGCUCGGAUAGCCACCACAGCUUUUUACAUAACCCUCAACUCUUCCUACAGGUGUCUUUCCUCAGCUGCCAAUUUUAAAAGGAAAAUACCAAAUGCUUUGGUGUUGUAUUGUUUUUCCCACGGUGGGGUGGCAAUCUAAGUUGUUAUUUAGCAUCUUAUAAACCAACAGACAAAUCCAAAGGAUCACUGAAUCAGAAUUAAACCAAAGCCCCAGGUACUAAUGAUUAUGAAGAGCAGUUUGCAGGAGUUCCCUAUUAACCACCUACCACACGGGGCCACAGGGCACAGCUGGCAAUCUGAGUAACUCUUUCAAGGCUGACUCCUGGGGUCACAUCUAACAGUGUAGCUGGGACCGAGGGGCCCAAGAUGACCUCACACCAUUUGAGGCACAGGUGGGGCUGUUUGAUCACGCUCAUGAUUUUCUGAAUGCUUUUGCUCUGACAGUGUGUGCUGACACCACCUUACAGCUUUCCUAACUAUUAGCAGAAGGUCUUACAGAGGCACCAUAGUUUCACUGGUAGCCUGAGGUCUCAUAAGACUAUGAUGAGGUUUCCUGACGAGGGAGAUGGGGCUGAGGUGAUGUUAUUUUCUGAUACAAAAAACUAUUGUUCCUUCUUAGUUCAUCAACUCUGUUUAAAAGGUACAGUUCUAUUUUUGUACCAUCCCUCUCUUUCCAGAUCUGACCCCAUGACACUAAAAGAAGCCAAUCAGCUUUGCAACAUUCUCCCUGAAAGCCUCCUCAGGCAGAGCCAACAGUUCACACUAGCUUCCAAACUGCCACUGCAACAUUUUGGCCAACUUUCCUGCCACUAAAUAACAACAGUCGUCUUUUCUCCAGCCUCUCGUGGUUUUCUCAGGGCCUUUGUCGUCUCCAGGAGCAGCUUCUUUGAAACCCUUCUGGAUUCGUCCCAUCUCCAAGUCCCAAAGUCAACAUCACAUGCUUUAGAAUCAUUUUAAAAUGAUUAUUAAUAUAGCAAUGCUGCACUUACACACACUGGUGUCUACAGUGUGCAUUUAAAAAAAAUCUGAAAACUUAGUGGCUUAAGACACUAACACGCAUUUUUUUUUCAAGCUCCGAUAGUACGUUUCUUCUGGUCUUGCCUGGGGUCACUGAUGUGGCUCUAGUUACCUGGAUGCCUCGAUGGGGGUUGGAAGAUGAGUAACGACCUCAUUCACAAGCCCGAGACCUCACCGGGGGGGAUGGAUUGGUGGUGAUGUCUGGGCUUCCACCUCCACCUGGUCUUUAACCCCAGAUGUCGUCACAGUGAAAAUGGAAGUUCUGGCUCCUGUGUAGCAAAAACCCUGAAUUUGCAGGGAAGCAUCUGGUGGUUGGUCUGAGGCUACUCUUUGUGAAAGGAGUCAGCAGUCAGAAAAAAUGGUGCAACGUAACACAGAAGAGGAUGGGGACAAGAUCUAACCCACCAGGUACCUCCGGUUGGUGCCACAUCACAUCUGACUACCAGGAACUUCAGAGAGUGACUGACAUGGCCACACUUCUGCUUUCUAAGCCACAUGCAAGCUUUCGUUUGGCCAACGCUAACCUGAAAGCAUUCCAGGAGGGGUCACUGGGAAACACCAAUCCCAGCUUACCCAGGUUGAGACAAAACAAACGACCAUAUUUCUUUCUUUAAAAAACACUUUUUGGAGUUUCCUUGGGGCACAGUGGGUUAAGGACCCAGUACUGUCACUGCAGGAAAAAAAAAAAAAAAAGAAGUUCCCAUUGUAGCACAGCAAAAAUGAAUCUGACUAGUAUCCAUGGGGAUGCGGUUUGAUCCCUAGCCUUGUUCAGUGCAUUAAGGAUCCAGCAUUUGCCCUGAGCUGUAGUAUAAGUUGCAGACACAGCUUGGAUCCCGCAUUGCUGUGGCUGUGAUGUAGGCUGACAACUCUAGCUCCAAUUUGACCCCUAACCUGGGAACUUCCAUAUGCCUCAGGUGCAGCCCUAAAAAAGAAAAAAACAAAAAACAAAAAACAAACCACCUUUGCUUUUCUCUGUCUCACUUCCCUCACCUCCAAAACUGCAACAGUAAUACUGUAAAAGUGGCAAUUCCAUCAGGAAACAGAUGAAACACUCAACGGUAAGGGAUUUCAUGCAGGUACCAAAGCUGCGUACAGUUUAGGAAAUCAAAAAUGGCUCUGAAGCCAACUCGUUGGUCCAGAGGUGUGAUUCUUUCUUAGAGCACAAAAAAGACCAGGAAGAGUCCAGAGACUGACAAGAGUGGUAACUAUCUCCAUCCCUGGAUCUGCAGGGUUAAAAAGGGACCGGUGUUAGAGAAGGCUAAAGACAGCACAGAACCAUGGGAGAGGACCACCCAGCAGGAGUUCUCAAUGCAAAUGCAAUGCAUGCAAUGCUAUUCCUGGAACCCAUUCCACACAAGGAAAAAGCAAAGCGCACCGGGCUCUCCAACCUCUCAGCCAGUGACCAUC
rnacentral:lncRNA from 1 species